rnacentral:lncRNA from 1 species
GCAACUGCAGACCAGAAUGGAUGGGAAAAGUACAUCUUGUUGCUAACUGUAACUUCAGACCAGACAUGGAUGGGAAAAGUACAGACUGUAGCUAACAACUGUAAGUAUCUGCUAGUUUUGUGCAAACUCGUUGCAAGAUUGUAUUAAGCAUGAACCUAUCCCGAACCUGAUUCCUGUAAGAUUGACAACCCUAUCGGAUCUGACUUCUGAAAUACAAUUAGCAUAAUUGAUCAUGAUACAUUUGAACAUCCAUGCAAAAUAAAGUUAAUGGUAAUAUUUUUUUACCAUACUGUCUUUCAGGUAACUUCAGACCAGACAUGGAUGGGAAAAAUACAGACUGUAGCUAACAACUAAGUAUCUUCUAGGUUUGUGUAAGCCUGACAACCCCAUCGGAUCUGACUUAUUUUUUUGUCAUUAUUAUUAUACAUUUUUUACCCCCUUUUCGCCCCAAUUUCGUGAUAUCCAAUUACACUGCAAUUCCCUCGGGACAUGCGAAGGUCGAGUCAUGCGUCCUUCCCAAACCGCACUUCUUAACAUCCGCCUGCUUAACCCGUAUGCUAGCCGCACCAAUGUGUCGGAGGAAAUACCGUUCAACUGAUGACGUAGUCAGCCUGCAGGCACCAGGCCCACCACAAGGAGUUGCUAGAGCACGAUGAGCCAAGUAAAGCUCCCCCGGCCAAACCCUCCCCUAACCCGGACGAUAUUGGGCCCUUUGUGCACAGCCUUUUGGGACUCCCGGUCAUGGCCAGUUGUGACACAGUCUGGGAUCGAACCCCUGUCUGUAGUGACUCCUUAGGCUGCUGCGCCACUCAGGAGUCCCCAAUUUGCAGAUUUCUGAUGUCACAUGUUAACAUGCAAAAGGGUUUAUUGUUAAAUUAUUUUCCUGGUUGUCUUUCAGGGCACUGCUAGUCGUGACUAUAUCCUUCCAAAUUGUCUCGUUGACUAGCAACGCCUGAGCUUCAGAGGUUGGGGGACAGCAGACCAGAAAAGGACACAGUGUUACACUUGUAAGAAUGCAUUUUGUGAAGUUGUUGCAAGAUUGUAUUUAGGAUGACACUAUCCCGAACAUGAUUGACAACACUGUCAGACCUGACUUCUGAAAUGCAAUUUGCAACCAAAUGUGUUAACAGGAUUUUGGGGAGAAUAGCUUUAUAAAGGUUGUAACAAGGUGUUUUCUUUCAUUUUUUAAAUUCCUAGUGACUGUCUUCGCAAGGGUCAUUGUGAUCUUUAUCAUACAAUGGAGCUGGCCAUCACUAGCAAUGUGGAGAACGCAUUAUUGCCUUUUCAUUUACAAAGCUCUAAAUUAGAACUGUGCUAUCCUAGGACAAAGUUUGUUAUAUUGACUGUAUUGAUUUGUGCAGUAACUGGAUGUUUGAAUUUAAUAAAGAUCAUUUAAAUGCA